GCCGAGGUGGCGGAAUUGGUAGACGCGCUAGCUUGAGGGGCUAGUGAGCGCAAGCUCGUGGGGGUUCAAAUCCCCCCUUCGGCACCA
rnacentral:tRNA from 1 species